UUAAUUGAAGAGUUUGAUCAUGGCUCAGAUUGAACGCUGGCGGCAGGCCUAACACAUGCAAGUCGAACGGUAACAGGGAGCAGCUUGCUGCUCUGCUGACGAGUGGCGGACGGGUGAGUAAUGUCUGGGAAACUGCCUGAUGGAGGGGGAUAACUACUGGAAACGGUAGCUAAUACCGCAUAACGUCUACGG
rnacentral:rRNA from 1 species